CGACCACGAUGUGGACGCGGCCCGCGGCACCGAGCGCCAUGAGAGCGCAAGAGGGAACCUGGUGCGAAUCCAGGACUGUCCCGCAACGGUAUGGGGCGAAUAUGCGAACGAAGAUCGCCGCCUCGAGUCCGAUUACCUGCCGAUUGUGCUGGGUGCGC
rfam:Dietzia timorensis strain ID05-A0528, complete genome.